AGUGGUAUAGCUGGGUCAAAUAGUGGUUUUAUUUCCAGUGUUCUGAGGAAUAGCCAUACUGCUUUCCAUAGUGGUUUCACCAAUUUGCAGUUCCACCAGCAAU
rnacentral:pre_miRNA from 1 species